rnacentral:rRNA from 1 species
GGAUUAGAUACCCUGGUAGUCCACGCCGUAAACGGUGGGUACUAGGUGUGGGUUUCCUUCCUUGGGAUCCGUGCCGUAGCUAACGCAUUAAGUACCCCGCCUGGGGAGUACGGUCGCAAGACUAAAACUCAAAGGAAUUGACGGGGGCCCGCACAAGCGGCGGAGCAUGUGGAUUAAUUCGAUGCAACGCGAAGAACCUUACCUGGGUUUGACAUGCGCAGGACGUAUCUAGAGAUAGGUAUUCCCUUGUGGCCUGCGUGCAGGUGGUGCAUGGCUGUCGUCAGCUCGUGUCG